GACGAACGCUGGCGGCGUGCUUAACACAUGCAAGUCGAACGGAAAGGCGCUGCUUUUGUGGGGUGCUCGAGUGGCGAACGGGUGUGUAACACGUGAGUAACCUGCCCUUGACUUUGGGAUAACUUCAGGAAACUGGGGCUAAUACCUGAUAGGUGCUCCUGCUGCAUGGUGGUGGUUGGAACGUUUCGGAGGUAGGGGAUGGACUGUCGGCUUAUCAGCUUGUUGGUGGGGUAGUGGCUUACCAAGGCAUUGACGGAUAGGCGGCAUGAGCGGGGGACCAGGGCCCAGGCGACUGCGGUAGGGCGCAGAGUGCUAUGGGGGACAACAGGGGGGAAUCUGAUCCAACGAGGGGGAGUGCGAUGAGACGACGCUGGGGUUGGGAACAGCGUCUGUCGGGGGAAAACCGCUCCGGCCUGAUACGACGCGGGAGUGACGGUAAUGGGAAAAGAAGCACCGGCUAACUACGUG
rnacentral:rRNA from 1 species